GAUGAAGAACGUAGCGAAAUGCGAUAAGUAAUGUGAAUUGCAGAAUUCAGUGAAUCAUCGAAUCUUUGAACGCACAUUGCGCCCCCUGGUAUUCCGGGAGGCAUGCCUGUCCGAGCGUCAUUACAACCCUCAAGCUCAGCUUGGUGUUGGGCCCCGCCGCCCCGGCGGGCCCUAAAGUCAGUGGCGGUGCCGUCCGGCUCCGAGCGUAGUAAUUCUUCUCGCUCUGGAGGUCCGGUCGUGUGCUCGCCAGCAACCCCCAAUUUUUUUCAGGUUGACCUCGGAUCAGGUAGGGAUACCCGCUGAACUUAAGCAUAUCAAUAAGCGGAGGA
rnacentral:misc_RNA from 1 species